UCAUUGAUGUGUCAUUAUGGUCACAUCAUGGGUCACUGUAGAGGCAUAGCCAUAGAUUCCCCUUUUGGUAGAACCCUCUCUUUUUCUCUCUACCCUCCAACGUGCUCUCUCCCACACUGCACAGCACCCAUUCCAAUUCCUUCUCUCUUUCACCAUAUCUCCUCAAACCACACUCUCCCUUACAAUCAAACUAAUCACUUCAAAGGAACAAACACAAAUAAACACUCCAAAUUCACAAUUUUCCGGGAAAAUCCCAACGCACCAUGGUUUCCCCGGAAAACAGCAAUUGGCUCUUCGACUACCCCUUGAUCGACGAUGACAUUACCGUCGGAGACGGCUCCUUCACCGUCUCUGCUUCCGCCUUCUCCUGGCCCCCCCACCUGCCUCCAAUGUCAGUGUUGAAAUUGAUGCUUCACUCGUUGAUUCUGAUGGCCUCAAAGACCAUGCUUUGAAGAAGAGGGGUAGAUCUGAUUCAUGCACUGGUUCUAGCUCUAAGGCGUGUCGGGAGAAGUUGCGAAGGGAUAGGCUUAAUGACAAGUUUGUUGAAUUGGGCGCCAUCUUGGAGCCUGGAAGGCCUCCCAAAACAGACAAGGCUGCCAUUCUUAUGGAUGCUGUCCGAAUGGUAACACAGCUCCGGGAAGAAUCCCAGAAGUUGAAAGAGUCAACUACGAGUCUUCAAGAGAAGAUUAAAGAGUUAAAGGCUGAGAAGAAUGAACUUCGUGAUGAGAAACAGAGGCUCAAGGUAGAGAAAGAGAAGCUGGAGCUACAGGUAAAAUCAAUAAGUGCCCAACCUGCUUUCUUGCCACCCCCUCCUGCAAUCCCCGCCGCGUUAGCUCCACAGGGUCAAGCCCCGGGCAACAAGUUGGUGCCUUUCAUCAGUUAUCCGGGUGUUGCCAUGUGGCAAUUUAUGCCUCCUGCUGCAGUGGAUACAUCACAGGAUCAUGUACUCCGUCCACCAGUUGCCUAAGUGGGCAUUUGUACAAUUAUUUGGGUUUCCAUUUUUUGCCCAAAAGUUGUAUUCAUUUUACCGUAGCUUCUAAGUGUUCCCUGUAACUGGAUUCAGAGGUGACUUUGACUGUAUUUGGCAUCUGAUACUAUUAUGAAGUAAUCACUGGUAUUUGCAUGUAAAUGUUCAUAAGCUU